UACAGAGGUCCCAAGCGUUGUUCGGAUUCACUGGGCGUAAAGGGUGCGUAGGCGGUUGGGUAAGUCUGAUGUGAAAUCUCACAGCUUAACUGUGAAACUGCAUUGGAUACUAUCCGGCUAGAGGAAUGGAGGGGAGACUGGAAUACUUGGUGUAGCAGUGAAAUGCGUAGAUAUCAAGUGGAACACCAGUGGCGAAGGCGAGUCUCUGGACAUUUCCUGACGCUGAGGCACGAAAGCGUGGGGAGCAAACAGG
rnacentral:rRNA from 1 species